rnacentral:sRNA from 1 species
GAUCACGCGCCUGACGGCUUUUCCGGGGCCCGGGAGCCAACCGAGGGCGUUCCUGUCGGGGCUGCAGCGGCGGGAGGGAGCCCAGUGGAGGCGCCCUCCCGAAGCGCCACUGCCCAUGCUGACCACCCAGCCCUCCGGCUGCUGAUGUCAUGAGUAACACCACUGUGCCCAAUGCCCCCCAGGCCAACAGCGACUCCAUGGUGGGCUAUGUGUUGGGGCCCUUCUUCCUCAUCACCCUGGUCGGGGUGGUGGUGGCUGUGGUAAGGAGCCCUCAUAUACACACACAGACACCCACAGCUUUGCUAAGGCAGGGGCUGGGUGGGCCUGGUCCAGUCUGCAGAGUCCCCACUGUCCUGUUAAGGGAGUGAAGGGUGUGGAGGUGGGCCUCUCUCUGCCUGUGGGCCUUCCUGGGCUCAGCAGCCCCCACAGUGCUGUGUCUCUGUUGCAGGUAAUGUAUGUACAGAAGAAAAAGCGGUGAGUGUCCCUGUCCCCCACCCGCCCUAACCCCACACCCGUUCUGAAAUUCCUGCUCAUAGGCUCUGACUUUUCUGUAAGAUGUCCCUCAGCCAUCCUGAUACAAGCCUGUAAUUUGUUUUCCCUGCCCCAGCCUCAGGUUACUCACUGGGGAAAGCCCCUUUGUAGAACCAGGGUUGUAUUCUUGGAGGUAUAGUGUGUCCCAAAAGGCACCCACUGGAAUUGCCCCUGCCUGGGAAAGGGAGGAGAGACGGGGCAGCCAGGUGUUUGAUGAGGGUUGGGGGGACCUCCUAGCUGAGUCCCCUCCCCUGCUCCCCAGGGUGGACCGGCUGCGCCAUCACCUGCUCCCCAUGUACAGCUAUGACCCAGCUGAGGAACUGCAUGAGGCUGAGCAGGAGCUGCUCUCUGACAUGGGAGACCCCAAGGUGAGCACUUGGGG